GACAAUCUGGCCGAGUGGUUAAGGCGACAGACUCGAAUACGCCUAUUUCCGCCCAGAAUUAGGCGUUCGCUAUCUGUUGGGUUCGCCCGCACAGGUUCAAAUCCUGUGGUUGUCG
rfam:Exophiala spinifera strain CBS 89968 unplaced genomic scaffold supercont1.1, whole genome shotgun sequence.